rnacentral:lncRNA from 1 species
UUUCAUUCCUUUCUGAGCUCUCUCCUUCUCAGCCGCCGAAACCACUUUGACAAAGGCUCUGUGUGCGCCAUUGCGAAACCUACCUCUCUCUCAUCCUCUCUGACAAAGGCUCUGUCCUGCCCAAUCCUCUCUGCGCAAAACCUCCUCUCAGGAAAACCUCUCUGUCAUCCAGCGCCUCUGUCAGCCUCCGUUUCUCUCUGAGCCGCCACCUCUCUCAGUCGCCGCCAUCACAGGUCAGAUUGUCUCUUUUUUUCUUUUUCUUUUUCUUCUUUUCCCCCGUCGAAUCUCUGGCUAACUCUAUCUGUGUGCAAUUCGUAGAUUCAGCACAGCAGUUCGCAGCCACCUCUUCAUUUUAUUUACCUCUCUUUCUCUCUGUCAGGUAUGAUUCGCCAUAAACUAUUUGAGAAUUUGAGUUUCUUUGUUAUGCUGCCAAGUUUAGUUUAUUUCUCCACCUAGCUGGCGUGUGGUUCUUAGCUUUGUCAUUGUGUACUGUUUGCAUAGGGUGUUUUUCAAAUUGAUUUAGGGUUGUGGUUCAAAAUGAUUUAGGAUGUUUUUCAAAUUGAUUUAGGUUUGAUUAAAAUUAAAUGGCUGCUCUAGAAAUUUAUCAAAUUGAUUCAAAUUGAUUGAGGUUUGAUUAAAAUAAAUUGGCAGCCCUAGAAAUCUUCUAUGAGUUGAAAGUUGUGUAUAGAAAUUAUGAGAUUGAUUCACACUGCAUGCUAAACAUUUUGGACAAUCAAGCCACCAUUCAUUGAAAGAAGUUUUGUUUUGCAGGAGACUUCAAGUGGCACUGUCCCAAUAGCACGCACCAUUCAUUAAUUUAGGUUUGAUUAGCAGCAGUUCGUGAAGAUCAGCAGGAAAUUUCUGGACAAGUUUGCAGCUUCCAGCAGCAUUUCUGCCACCCUCUGAGGUAUUCCGGCAGCAGUUCUGCCACUUUCUAUAGAUUUUUUAAUUGUUUUUUGUGGAUAAAUUUCCUCUGUUUGUAAUUGUUUUCAUCUGCCAAAUUCAUGUUAUAAAGAAGAGUUCUUGUUUGUAUACACUUCUGGUCAGAUUUCAGGGUCUUCAUUUGCUAAUAUUUGCCUUGUGUUGUGAAUAGAUUAAUCUGUAGAGAAUUAUGAAUUUGGGUUCUGCCACUUGAGGAUGUAUAUAUACAGCUUUUAACUCUUAAACUGUUUUGUUCUUAUAAUUUAGAAGAAUACAAGUUGAAGAGAAUAUUGACAACAAUUUAUUUUUUAAAAUGUUUCUUAUAAUUUGGGUUGUAAUGUAUAUUUGGAUUGAAUUUGGGUUGUAUUUGGCUAGUAAUUUAUUUUGGAGCUUAUUUUGUUGAAGUUUGAUUGCAUUUGGUUGUAAUUUAUAUGUUGAAGUUGGAUUGUAUUUUUGUUGAAGUUAGAUUGAUUUUGAUGUGUUGAAAGCUUGAUG